UACGAAGGGGGCUAGCGUUGUUCGGAUUUACUGGGCGUAAAGCGCACGUAGGCGGAUCUUUAAGUCAGAGGUGAAAUCCCAAGGCUCAACCUUGGAACUGCCUUUGAUACUGGGGAUCUUGAGUCCGGGAGAGGUGAGUGGAACUGCGAGUGUAGAGGUGAAAUUCGUAGAUAUUCGCAAGACACCAGUGGCGAAGGCGGCUCGCUGGCCCGGAACUGACGCUGAGGUGACGAAAGCGUGGGGAGCAAACAGGG
rnacentral:rRNA from 1 species